rnacentral:lncRNA from 1 species
CCACUGAUGUAGGGAGAGGUGGGCCGACAGCGGUAGAGCAGCCACAAGCACCUGCUGCUGAGGAACAAGUUAUCCAUGUUGAGGACACGGAGUUGCAACUUGUGUUAGAGGGAAAUGUUAUGCAGCAGAAACAUUUUGUUGUAGAAAGCAAGGAUAGAUCUGAAGAGCCAGUUCCUCAGACUGGUGAGGAGGUGCCCAGUACGAGUGCUGGGGUACAGGAGGGGGUUCAUAUGGAGCUAGUCUCCCAGGUAGUGGAGGAGAUGCCCACUAUGAGUAACGGGGUACAGGAGGGGGUUCAUGUGGAGCUAGACUCCCAGGUAGUGGAGGAGAUGCCCACUACUAGUAAUAGGGUACAGGUGGGGCUAGUCUACCAGGUAGUGGAGGAGAUGCCCACUACUAGUAAUAGGGUUCAGGUGGGGCUAGUCUCUCAGGUAGUGGAGGAGAUGCCCACUACGACUAAUAGGGUUCAGGUGGGGCUAGUCUCCCAGGUAGUGGAGGAGAUGCCCACUACUAGUAAUAGGGUUCAGGUGGGGCUAGUCUCCCAGGUAGUGGAGGAGAUGCCCACUAUUAGUAAUGGGGUUCAGGUAGAGCUAGUCUCCCAGGUAGUGGAGGAGAUGCCCACUACUAGUAAUAGG